UAUACACACCACCAGUUUGACAAUGUAGUUCUUGAGAUGUUUUUCAUCAUCGGUCUUGUAGUCCUUCCAGCAAGUAAGGAUCGGUAUAUGCUGACGCAGUAUGAUCCCACCCUCUAAUGCAAACUUUGUAACUUGCAAUGGUGCCUCUGGCCGUUUGAGCCCUUCUCGAACAUGGAUUGGAAGCUUGGUGUGUAACCCUAUGCUUAUCCUGUCUAGAUCUCUGCCCAACCUUCUUGAAUAUAGUGGCACUUGUGCUCUUCUGGAAAGGCGUGCAUCACCUAACAAUUUUGUUUAGGUCAUGCAGGUGGUGUGUGUUAAUAAUGAUUUGGUUGGUAAUGAAGACAUUCCAAUUUUUUGGCGUUGGGAAAAAGAGAUCAAAUGACUUGCCUUCGCCAAUCGUCAUGUUGAUGAUGUCCUUACUGUGGGUGGCUGUUGCUUGGCCUUUGGUUGGCAAGUCUUGUGAAUCAGGAGUCGUCCCAUUCCAAACUCCUACCUAAGCUAAAGCUAAUGCCUUUGCCUUGGUCCUAGUCACUCUAGGAGGCAUACUAUCAGAGGCAUCAGGUGCCCAAAUUCUCUUGGACAACCCUCUUCCCCCACUGACAGGUAUGCUAUCACUGACCUGAUUAGACAAAUUGCAUAAACAAAAUAAUGAGAAGCAAUCCUGCAUAACUGAUACAAGAAAUUUGGUAUGCAACAACAGAUACCUCGUGUUGCAUGUCUCUUGGUCAGAUUCAGGUUGUUCCUAAUAUGGGUCAUACUCUGGAUCUAGAUCUUCACUUCUUGUUUCAUUGCUAUCCUUUCUUUUUUUUUCCUUUUGUUGCAUUUUUAAGGAUGCUUGUGAAUUUUCCAUUGGCGAGGGAAGACAGUACCUUCUGGUUCCUUAAGAUACAUGCAGUCCUCUUCUACUAAUAAGGAGUGAGCUCUGAUUCUUUAUGUUAGGAAAAGAAAGAAAGUUCUGCAAAAUUAUCCAACCACUGUAAAUGAAACAAAAAACUGUACAAGAAACAAACUGCUGCAAAUUCUAAAGGUAGAGCACACCGAAACAAGAUUCAAUAUAGGAUGUUCCUAGCCAAAACAAGAUCAACAAAAGGAUGUUCCUACCCAACCUUGUAAAGGGCAAACUACUGUGAAAGAAAUGAAUUAAUGUAAAAUUAUAAAGGUACUGCCCCCCAAAACAAGAUCCAAGAUAGGAUGUUCCUACCCAACCUUGUACUAGCCUAAAGGACAAACUAGUAAAAGAAACAAACUAGUGUAUACAUGGGAACUACCAGAUCUGCAAACAAACAAAUAAGUAAAAGUAGUAACAAAAGCAAACAAGGAAACACUUUAAUCACAACCCCGAGGAUGCUUAACUAGGGAGGAAAACAUUGUACCUGGUUUUACGGAGGGAGAUGGGAAAUGGAUGGCAGCUAUAAGGGGAAGAUUGUGGAUGGUGGUGAGAAGGUGAAGAUUUGGGAUGGCAGUGAGGAGGAGGUGAAGAUUUGGGAUAGGGGUGAGGAGGUGAAGGGACGGGGUAUUUGGCCAAUUGGGUGGAUGGCCCUGUCACAUUACCAAUAUACCCUUCUACUAUGGUUGGUGGAUGAAAUGGGAUGUUGUUGGGAAGGGUGGGAGGAAAAUUGGCAUUUCACAUUGGUCACAUGGCUUGGCUCGGGCAUCCGAAUAUUUGAAAAGUGCGCCGGAAAGAUUUUGGGGCUGGUCCACGCCAGGUAAUGGCCAUCAAAGGAUGUUCCGCUUAGUAGAAAAUGCUGGACAAAAAUCUAAAUAGUGGAAUGUCUAGUAGUCUAUUCAUAGAUGUUUCUUAUUCUUGGUACAAUCAAUGUAACCUGUACCAAAAAUUUAUUUGUAGAACUAGGAGAAUCUGCACCCAAAUUCAAUAAAUUAUCAUUCGAAAUCUUUGUUAUAUCAUGAGAACACCCUCAAAAAGUUGGAUAUUCCAUUAUUUGGUACCACUCCCUCCGUUUAUGUACUGCUCCACUUAUUUUGAAGUGUAGUAAUGGGGACAGUGUCAUAUCAUAUCACGUCUUAUAGACAAUUAGGGAGGGCGUAUUUAGGAUGGAGAACUACUAUAUGUAUUAAGAUUUACAUUGGGAAACCAAAGAAACCUCUCUCAUCUAUUCGGUGUGCUUACUACGAUUGGAAAUCCUUGUACCAUCCCGGUAAUAUUGGAAAUCCUUGUACCAUGCCUUCCAUUGGAUGUGUUUACUACUUAAUCAUGUGCACAUUGGAAAUAAAACAACUUUCCCUUUGGUUGCAUGUGCUUACUUACUUGUUAACAAUGGAAACCAAAGAAAUCUCCUUUUGAUUGGGUGUGCUUACUACUUAUUCAUGUGCACAUUGGCAAUCAAACAUCAUUUUUCCCGAUUGGAUUUGCUAACUACUCAAUCGUGCGCACAUUGGAGAUCAAAGAUCCCUCCCUUCAGUUGCAUGUGCUUACUU
rnacentral:lncRNA from 1 species